rnacentral:rRNA from 1 species
CCUACGGGUGGCAGCAGUAGGGAAUCUUCCACAAUGGGCGAAAGCCUGAUGGAGCAACGCCGCGUGGGUGAAGAAGGUCUUCGGAUCGUAAAACCCUGUUGUUAGAGAAGAAAGUGCGUGAGAGUAACUGUUCACGUUUCGACGGUAGCUAACCAGAAAGCAACGGCUAACUACGUGCCAGCAGCCGCGGUAAUACGUAGGUGGCAAGCGUUAUCCGGAUUUAUGGGGGGUAAAGGGAACGCCGGCGGUCUUGUAAAUCUGAUGUGAAAGACUUCGGUUUAACCGGAGUAGUACAUUGGAAACUGGAGACUUGAGUGCAGAAGAGGAGAGUGGAACUCCAUGUGUAGCGGUGAAAUGCGUAGAUAUAUGGAAGAACACCAGUGGCGAAAGCGGCUCUCUGGUCUGUAACUGACGCUGAGGUUCGAAAGCGUGGGUAGCAAACAGGAUUAGAUACCCUAGUAGUC